AUGGGCACAGACGUGUGGGCCUAUAGUAGCGAACAAAAGCCCAGAAGGCCCACAGGUGGUUCAGGGCUCAGGUCGUCGUCGUCCUCCUCCUCCGAUCCCCUCGCCGGCAAACGGCGCGCCGCCGUUGGUCGCCGGCCGCCGCCGUCCGGCUCCUCUCCGAUCCAUUUUUGGGAGUUGAUUCGAUUUUGCCGCGUCGGAUUGCUCGCCGGCGUGAAAGCUUACUAGGGCAUCAUGGACGGUAUGCACGCGCUUGCCCUCUUGUAAUCCCCUUUCUCCUACUGCUCUCUGGUUAUUAUGUGUUAGUCUGGGGGGAGUAGAAAGAACAGUUUUUAUUAGUUAGGGGUAUAAUUUGUGUCUUAGCUGAUAGAAUGUGCAGUUGGUGAUUAGUGCGGACCUGGGUUGAUUGUAGUUGCAUGACAGGCAAUUUAGUGGUAAGCCGAGUUAAUUUUGGAUUUAACAACUGCAACUACAAGGAAAGAACUCUUUUUUUGCACUGAUAGGCGAUCUGAAUUAUAGUGAUGUGCAGUGUGAAAAUCACUUUGAAAUUCAUUAUUGUCAGCAUUGUCAUCCUGAGUAGAUUGCCAAUUAUAUGGGUUUGGAGGACAAUAAGGACUAAGCUCUCCAGUCCAUUUCUUGUCUUGAAAAAUGAACUCCAUAUCAUCCUACAGAAUAUGAUGGUAACUUUAAUAAAAUUUGUGUUGUUAUCUUUGUAUUGUAAGAAAGGAUGUAAUCAAAAUACGGUGAACAAAGCCCUUAUAGAGUCAGUCCGGACAUGUUCAGUAUUGCAGUCUCAUCGUAUAGUAUCUUUUUCUCAGGUGCCUCUUAAGUUUUUUCUCUCUAGUAUAAUCUUCCAUUGGGCUUUCAACUUCUGGAAGUUGUGCUGAUUUGCUGCACACAAUGAUACCCGAGAUUUGUUGAUUAGCUCAGUUGGUGUCUUUGCUCUAUUUCCCCUCCAUUCAUGUAAAUGAUAUCAAGUUUGGUGGAAUGCUGGUAAAAAUCCUCUUCUAGCUGCAUAACCAAUAAAGCAUCUGCAAGAUACUACUUACCUACAUGACAUUACAAUCAUAACUAAUCUCCCAAUAUGCUGUGUAUUCAUACGUAAUAGAUAAGAGAAUCCAGCCUUAGAUUCUAACUUUGUGAUCAUGUAUGGCUUCUGCUUGUGCCCGUGAUGCUAUUGUUUCAUAUCUGUUUCCCAAUAGUCGAUAAACAGGAAACAAUGGAAGAGACCAUUCUCACUGGUGAUGAUCUCAUGCGUGAGCCACCAUCCCCUGCCAUACCAAAAGAAAUUGCCUCGCAUGUCCUUCAAGGUGUUGAGCCCUGUGAUGGUAUACUCAGGAAUCUUUUCUUAUGUGAGUUAACUGUUUCUGUGACAUUUAAAAUCGUGUUUCUCUUUCUCUGUGUGUGGAAGUAUUAUUGCAAAAAUAUUAUACGGCACAGGCCUGCAAAUCAAUGACAUCGAGCCUUUUUGCCAAGAUGAAAUUGUGUUUUACCGACAAUGUGCUGCAAAAAGGGACAAGGAAAUAAGAGAGAAGAUGGUAGACAGUGAAUAUAAACUGCGCAUUUCGAUGCCCCUGGAAGAAGGAAAGGAAAGAACUACUCAACUCCAAUUGGAAGUCACAUUGCUUGAAAGGCAUACGAGACAAUGAGUAGCACCAGGGACAAAGCCAAGCACACGUUAAAUUGCCUUGUGACCACUCUUCAGCACCGUAUAAAAUGAUUUACAGACUUUUGCUUUUAAGAACACUACCUAUUGCCUACAGACUUUUUUUCUAAUUGUAUUGAUUAGAUUAAACUGGACAAAAGAAAUCAUCAGGUGUACUGAGUUUUUGUUAAUAAUUCAUCGGCAUGAUUUCAUCAGUUCUGCUUGUAUGUAGUCUCGUACUUCUGUAGGCGCAUGAUUCUUGCUAGUGGGCUUGAGGGCAUGGAGGGAUUUCGCCAGAGAUGGAGCUUGCAUGGACAGCUCGAGGAUACGAGGAAAAGGAUGGAAGCACUGGUCCGUGGGAUGGAGAAGGGAGAAAGCCAAAAUUCUCAAGCGCAAGGGAGCUAAGAAGAGGUGGUUGUUUUGAGAUAAAUGGGCUUUUUGAUGGCCCAGUAACACUCGCUUCAGCUAUGGGCUGGUUCUUCAUUGGACUUGCAAGACCUCUGCAAAAUUAAAUGUGGCCUUUCCCUGAAGGCCCGCCUGUCCUUGUGUUCUUUUGCAAAUUGCAAUUGGGCCUUGGAAGAUUAUGUCGUCUCAAAAUAUACAAGGUUACGAAUUUGCUAUAUAUUUGUCGACAAAUUUUCCACCAAAAAUUUGACAGAUGUAAUUAUAAUACAAUCGUAGUGUAAUUACACUGUAACUAUAAUGUAACAUGUAUGUAACUUUCAAAAAUCUCUCCAUAACGUUUAGAG